AUGCCCAACGGCCCCAUGCGGAUAACCAGUGGUCCCUUUGAGCCUGACCUGUACAAGUCUGAGAUGGAGGUUCAAGAUGCAGAGCUGAAGGUUAGUGUUGAAUGGAAUAUGAACAUGGG
ensembl:miRNA